ACAAUUAGCUGUUGGGACACUAGAUGUCUUAGUAGCGAAGCUAACGCGUGAAAUUGUCCGCCUGGGGAGUACGGUCGCAAGAUUAAAACUCAAAGGAAUUGACGGGGACCCGCACAAGCGGUGGAUGAUGUGGAUUAAUUCGAUGCAACGCGAAGAACCUUACCUGGUCUUGGCAUGUACGGAAUCUCUUAGAGAUAGGAGAGUGCCUUCGGGAGCCGUAACACAGGUGCUGCAUGGCUGUCGUCAGCUCGUGUCGUGAGAUGUUGGGUUAAGUCCCGCAACGAGCGCAACCCUUGUCAUUAGUUGCCAUCAUUAAGUUGGGCACUCUAAUGAGACUGCCGGUGACAAACCGGAGGAAGGUGGGGAUGACGUCAAGUCCUCAUGGCCCUUAUGACCAGGGCUUCACACGUCAUACAAUGGUCGGUACAGAGGGUAGCGAAGCCGCGAGGUGAAGCCAAUCUCAGAAAGCCGAUCGUAGUCCGGAUUGCACUCUGCAACUCGAGUGCAUGAAGUCGGAAUCGCUAGUAAUCGCAGGUCAGCAUACUGCGGUGAAUACGUUCCCGGGUCU
rnacentral:rRNA from 1 species